UACGUAGGGGGCAAGCGUUGUUCGGAAUCACUGGGCUUAAAGGGCGCGUAGGCGGCCCCGUCAGUCGGGGGUGAAAUCCCACGGCCCAACCGUGGAAGUGCCUCCGAUACUGCGGGGCUCGAGGGGGGUAGGGGCAGCGGGAACUUCCGGUGGAGCGGUGAAAUGCGUUGAUAUCGGAAGGAACGCCGGCGGCGAAAGCGCGCUGCUGGACCCUCUCUGACGCUGAGGCGCGAAAGCCAGGGGAGCAAACGGG
rnacentral:rRNA from 1 species